GCCCCGCUCCUCAGUGAGCCCCCAGAGAAAAGCCGUCAGUCACUCCCGUCUCCCCGGUCUCCGGCCGCACCCCGUGCUCGCCCGGCCUGUGACCUCGCCUCUGUCUCUGGCACCCGACCCCGCGUGCAGUCUCCAAACCCAGCCGAUCCCUGCGGUGCACUCCUGUGCGGCUCCUCCUGGGGGAGGAAGCUCUAUCACUUGCCAGAAGCGGCCAACGGAGGCCCCCUCCCCCGCCGCCUGUCCUCCCGAUAUCACCUCGGAUUCACUUCUCCGCACAUCCUAAUUGGUUAUCUCCAUAUCACCAACCCCAGUGGCUUCAGGCUUCCUCCCUUCCAGCUUCCACUCCUGAGGGGAGGAGAGCAAGAGAGCUUCUUUCUCCCAACGGAUUCCAAGAGUCUGUGGAGCCUGUUAUUGGCCAGAAUGGAGCCCUGUACCCAUUCCUGAACCAUUACCACAGUGAGAACCUGUAAGCUCCAUGAAGAUAGGAGAACCAUCUGCCGCCUCUUCUGUGUCACCUGUCCCGUGGCUCCUGAGUGAGUUCAAUUCCAUUCUAUCUGUAGCUUCUAAAAAUAACCAUUAGAUUGAUUUAUCGAGAUGAGAUGAUUUAAACAAAGACAAGGACACUUUAAUCAUGCCUAUGUCAAAGUUGUGAUUGAAAAAUUUUGCCAACUGCUGUGCAAAAGACACUGUCAAAAGAAUAAAAAGACAAGCCGCAGACUGGGAAAAAAAAUAUUUGCAAAAGACACAUCUGAAAAAGGACUGUUCUCCAAAAUGCACAGAGAACUCUUAAAACUCAGCAAGAGGAAAACAGACAGCCCAACUAAAAAAUGGGCAGAAGAUCUUGAAAGACACCUCACCAAAGAAGAUAAACAGAUGGCAAAGGAGCAUAUGAAAAUACGUUUCACAUUGUAUGUCAUUAGGGAAAUGCAAAUUAAAACAACGAGAUACCACUACACACCUAUUAGAAUGGCCAAAAUCGGGCGCCUGGGUGGCUCAGUUGGUUGAGCGACUGCCUUCGGCUCAGGUCAUGGUCCUGGAGUCCCUGGAUCGAGUCCCGCAUCGGGCUCCCUGCUCGGUGGGGAGUCUGCUUCUC